UCAUCAGGAAUGUGGGUCUGGAGUCAGCAGAGGGGGCACAGCUGGGGAUAGAGAUUUAAGAAUCUUAAGCAUUUAAGAGAAGGAUGAAGGAAAAGGAACUGGCAAAAUAGACUGAGAAUCUCACUACCCACCCGUCCCAUUCUUGCUAGACCAGACCAGUUUGUCAUUUGCAAGAGGUCUUAGGCAUACAACCUGCUGCUUCUCCUCCUGGGUAUGGCAUUGCCUAUUGUGACUCCCUUGAGGUUCUGUCUCUCAGAGGGAUGUGGUGUCUACAGCUCCUUCUAAUUCCUCUAGAUCCCUGAAGGCAAGCAACCAGGCCCUCUUAUUUACUGUUGGUUUAUUUUUGAAAUAAAUUUUACUCCUAAUCACUACUGCCUAAUAUAAUGGGAAUAAUAAAACUAACAAACCCAUAAGAUUUAGAGAAUCUUGAAAAACUUAUAUAGUUUUGAUUCCCGCUCUGUUCCUGACUCCUUUGCUGAGAUACUAAGUAGAAUUUGACUUGAAUCCCUGCUUUCAUUCCCGAGGUAGAGAAUAUUAAUCCUUCUUUCUUCUUCUGAGUCCCUCUUCUCAGAGGAGGGACAAGAUUCUCUAAUGAUCCACUUUCUGGUAUAUGUCUAUGGAUACAAUUUAGACAAAAAGAUGUGUGUCUCUUAUUCCCACAUGGAUAAUUUAUAGGUUCAAGAACUUCCAAACCCAGUUCGAUACACAUUCUCUUGGCUUCUGCUCUGUGUAGGAACAAGACUGACUCAGUGGUGUCACCAAAGCCAUGGAUCAAGGAGGCUUCAAGAGAGUUAGUUGUCAACUGCUGUGCGGAGGUCGAUCAAGGGUGUUUUCAGGUCUGAAAAGAACACCUGAAAGUACCAAAGCCAUCUUGCCAUGAGCAGCCUGAGAAUGGAGACGAUGACUGAGGGUGGCAGAGCAGAAAGAUGGUAAGAGCCUGCAUCUGUAAUAACUGGGCUGGCCACUGAAGCUGCUUACCCAACCCUCUCCCCCUUGGUAAGUACAGUUAUCCCAAUGAAUGAAUUCUGAAAAAUUGUUUAAGGGUGUUUAAAUCUGGUUUUUAUGGCUUGAAGCCAAAAGCGUUCUAGCUAAAAUAACUUGCCAUGUAGUAAAUGUUUAUUAAACAUUUUUAAUAAACAUUAAUGUACAUUAAACAUAACUUGAUUUUAAAGUGGUGGUCUUAGAAAUCAAAGGGUGUGUCCCUUGUGAGUCUGUCAUGCAAUAGGAUUUGGAACAUGAAAUACAGUAUUCUUAUGGUCAUCCCCUAUAAGCCCACGCUUAUUUUGUU
rnacentral:lncRNA from 1 species